CUCCGUUUCUUCUUCAUUCAAUCUCCGUUACUGAGCCUCAUCUGUUAUCAAUGUUCUUCAAUACCCUCUUAAGGAAUUCCUUCCACCUCCUCUCGAAAAAACGAAAAAGAAAAUCCCUUUCCUCGACCUUAUGCCAAGAUGAUGAGUCGUUUUAUAGUGACGACUAUCUGAUGCUCUUGGUCGGGAAAAUAUCUUCUUCAAAUCCAUUCUUCCCUAAUCCUCAAAUUAAUCUUUAUCAGAAAAAAUUGAUAGAGGAUCGUCGGUUGUGCGGCUGUGCCUACGCAGAAGGCGCGACCGACAACAAAAUUUCACGAGUUUGAGGUUGCAAAGUUGAUCACCAUCCAUAGCAUGAGUCCUUCAUUAUAUCAGGAAAUUCUUAUAGCUUGAGACUGUAUAACUUGAUUCAAUACAUAUUGCGCACAUAGUUUACGAUGUUUUGAAAUGAAGUUCGUUACUAAUUGGAUUAUCAUGAGAGCAUCUAAAUAUCCAUGUGGGAAUAAAUCCAAGGAGGGAGACGGAACAUAUGUGUGGCUUCAGACAGAACUAUGGUUCGGUUGGAGCACCGCUGCGUAAGAUACAUGAUAACUUCAGCUCAGGAAACAGAGGUGCUGCAUCUUCCGAGAAAGUUAAUAUCAGUGUUUUCCGAGUAUAUGUAUGUAAAUCUAGAUAGUCUUUCUAAAAAGCAUUGUUUAAAAAUCAGAUAUUAAUUCAUUUAACAUUUGUUUUUAUCAGCCUUUGAUAUGCUAGGGUUCCUCUUUGGCUCCCGUAAACUCUAAUGGCUUAAUUUUCUCUCUGUUUCUUUGCUUGCAAAACCAAUAAAAAGUCUGAUACAGUACCGCAUUCAUUUUGUUUUAUUGGUUUUGGAUGGACGCCGUUGAUGGUUUCUCGCUCAUGGCACCAGAACUUGCUCGAGGAAUCUUGAACCCAACCACGGAUCAGCCCCAAGGCCAUCCACCAAAAGUCCCUUAUCCUUAUCCUUUCCCAUGUCUUCCUAAAAUGAGCAUUAUCAAGAAUGCUAUUAUGCGGAUGGCGAGGAAAUGAUUGUUUAACUCCAUGUCGUGACCCUUUCCCUGUCUGUUUGGAAAGAAAAUGCACCGUAGCUUCUGAACAGGAUGUGGUCCUGAGUUCUGACCUAAGCACCAUAAACAUAACACGGUCAAAGACAUCAUAAGCCACACCAGUGUCAUACCCAUGCUCUCUCUCACCAAAUUUUCCAAUACAAGAACAACAAGACCAGAAACAUCAUCAAGAACAAUUAUGCAGAAUGAGUAGAGGAGGAGAGAGGUGGUGUACCUGGUAAGAUUGGGCUAUAUUAGGUACUGGAAUGGAGAUAAUUGGUGUGUGCUUAGAGGCCAGAAACUGUUGCCCAGCAGUUGGAGGUUGCAUAUCGUAACAAGGUCUGGUGCAGAAGAAUGUUUUAACCAUCUAGGUGUUUUGCAUGUUCAAGUGAUUUCAUGCUCUCUUUACGGGGACGAUGAUACUUGGAAAGCUUGGCUUGAUGUUGAUAACUCUAUGCUCCACAACUACUACUACUUUUACAAUCUUUGAUAGUUUUCACAAGCAAA